UCAAGAUGAAAUACUUUUUAUUUGCUCAUGUAAUGCCAGUUGCCAUAUUUUUCUGUAUGUCACUCAUUCGCUUAUACAAAAAGUACCAAUUUGUACACUAGUCUAGUGUAUUUUUUCCCUCUAUCUCUCUAUGUCUCUCACAUACAGAGACUAACACACAGACAUGUAUAUACUCAUUAUUGCUGUACAAACUGAUGGUCAAAUUUCCAAGCACCACCUGAACGCCUCAUCUGUUUUCAUCCCAUCACUGGACCAACUGUCGUCAUUCCGCUUUGCUCUCUGCUGUGGAACUUGACUCACAUCUGUGCUUUGCCUGUGUGCAGAAGAAGAACAAGGACCAGAUCUCCAGUCUUCUCUCUCACAUCCCAACCCCCCAAUCCCUCUAUCCUCUGUCCUGCUCCACCUGUUGUCUCUGCCUUCUUUCCAUCUGUAUUUCACCCUGUGGUUUGUGAGAAAUUUUGCCAAACCAAGAAUCUUAUUGCGGUUUGAUUUCAAAGCCGUGUCUUUCCUGCUCUGUCUGUUCUCUCUGCUAAAUUUUCUCUCUACCUGUUUUUCACUCUUUGGCUUGCUGCUGAAAAAUGCACAAGCCAAUAAAGCAAUAAAGAGUGCAUAUUUUGCCUCAACCUAUGAACAAACUGAACAAACAAAGAAAACUCUAAUUCACGGUUUGAUUGUGAUUUGCCAGCCGUGUCUUUCCUGCUCUGUCUGUUCUUUCUGCUAAAUUUUCUCUCUACCUGUUUUUCACUCUUGGCUUGCUGCUGAAAAAUGCCAAGCCAUUAAAGCAAUAAAGAGUGCAUAUAUUGCCUCUACCUGAGAACAAACUGAACAAACAAAGAAAACUCUAAUUCACGGUUUGAUUGUGAUUUCCCAGCCGUGUCUCUCCUGCUCUGCCUGUUCUCUCUUCUAGAUUUUCUCUCUACCUGUUUUUCAUUCUGGGCUUGCUGCUAAGUUGUGCCAAGCCAAUAAAGAGAGUGCAUAAUAUUCUCUCGACUGAAGAACAAACUGUCAAACAAACACAACUGUUUCAGACAAAUAAAAACUGAAAUAUAAAAACAAA